UAGUAACUGCGAGUGAAGCGGGAAAAGCUCAAAUUUAAAAUCUGGCGGUCUCCGGCCGUCCGAGUUGUAAUCUAGAGAAGUGUUAUCCGCGCUGGACCGUGUACAAGUCUCCUGGAAUGGAGCGUCAUAGAGGGUGAGAAUCCCGUCUUUGACACGGACUGCCAGGGCUUUGUGAUGCGCUCUCAAAGAGUCGAGUUGUUUGGGAAUGCAGCUCAAAAUGGGUGGUAAAUUCCAUCUAAAGCUAAAUAUUGGCGAGAGACCGAUAGCGAACAAGUACCGUGAGGGAAAGAUGAAAAGAACUUUGGAAAGAGAGUUAAACAGUACGUGAAAUUGCUGAAAGGGAAACGCUUGAAGUCAGUCGCGUUGGCCGGGGAUCAACCUUGCUUUUGCUGGGCGUACUUUCCGGUUGACGGGUCAGCAUCAAUUUUGACCGUUGGAUAAAGUCUAGGGGAAUGUGGCAUCUUCGGAUGUGUUAUAGCCCUUGGUCGCAUACAACGGUUGGGAUUGAGGAACUCAGCACGCCGCAAGGCCGGGUACUUGUACCACGUUCGUGCUUAGGAUGCUGGCAUAAUGGCUUUAAUCGACCCGUCUUGAAACACGGACCAAGGAGUCUAACAUGCCUGCGAGUGUUUGGGUGGAAAACUCGGACGCGUAAUGAAAGUGAAAGUUGAGAUCCCUGUCGCGGGGAGCAUCGAC
rnacentral:rRNA from 1 species